AUAGCAGGAAUAAUACUGCCUUUUCUUUCUGGCAUGGAUCAAGAGAAAAGAAAAUACAAGAAAACAGACAGAAGAUCCUAUCUGCGACAAUUAAGAGCACUCUAAGAGGAAAACACAUCCCACCACACAAGGCAAGGUACUUCUAUGGAAGGGUGAGCCCUCACAGAUGGAGCAAUGGGGCGCGCACACCUGAACAAGGGAGGGGAAGGAGUUCUUAUCCCUGAUGCAUGUGACCCCUGCUGCUGUGUCCUUCCCCUAUUGGCUAAGGUUAGACCACACAGCCUAAACUAAUUCCGAUUGGCUAAUUCAAAGAGAGCGACGGGGGCUUCUGACAGCUUUGGAGAUUGUGACAUUGGAAUAAAGGAAAAACGUACAGGACUCAUGAAGCGCUGAAAUGUUCACAAAUAUCAAGCAAAAGUCAAUGAAAUUUAUUUUGAGCUAUUUACAUCAUUUAAUAAUUGAGCAAGGUAUACUCCUAUGAACAAAAUUUGGAGCAUGUUUGUCUCUCUCUGCCUGGCGUCUUCAGAAUUUGGAAACUAGUUAUGGUUUAUAAUCAGCUAUAGAAUUUUAACACGUGCUCUCAAAUGCAAGUUUCUGAUAACUUUGGAGAUUGUGACAUUGGAAUAAAGGAAGAGCUGGAAUGUUCAUGAAUAUCAAGCAAAAGUCAUGGAAAUUUAUUUUGAGCUAUUUACAGCAUUUAAUAAUUGAGCAAGGUAUACUCCUAUGAACAAAAUUUGGAGCAUGUUUGUCUCUCUCUGUCUGCCUGGCAUCUACAGAAUUUGGAAACUAGUUUCGUUCCCAGAUUUCCUAAACUUUCCAGAGAAAAUGGUCUUCUCCCUGGCUCAGCAAGAAGAUGAACUUUAAACACUGAGAAACUGGUCAUCUCCCUGGCUCAACCAGAAGAUGAACUUUAAACACUACUCUCAAUGACUUGAUGUUCCCAUCACUACUCCUGUCAUAAAGGGAGGGGACUCAGAUAUUGAGAAUUUUAUGAUAGUGUGAACUGUCUGCUGUCAGCCAGGAGGGCAGAGCUGAAAUUUAUUGCCACAUCACAUGAAGCAUAGAACAGACUCCACUACUCCUUGAGAUUCAAAACUUUGCCUCUCACAAAGUUACCUUUUAUUUUCCUCUUGUUUGUCACUCAUCUCCCCUAGUGUGCUCUUUUUAUUUCUUUUACUAUUAAUAAUAAAAUCUGUGGAUGACUGUA
rnacentral:lncRNA from 1 species